rnacentral:rRNA from 1 species
UACGUAGGGGGCAAGCGUUGUCCGGAAUUAUUGGGCGUAAAGAGCUCGUAGGCGGUCUGUCGCGUCUGCUGUGAAAACUCGGGGCUUAACCCCGGGCCUGCAGUGGGUACGGGCAGACUAGAGUGCGGUAGGGGAGACUGGAAUUCCUUGUGUAGCGGUGAAAUGCGCAGAUAUCAGGAGGAACACCGGUGGCGAAGGCGGGUCUCUGGGCCGUAACUGACGCUGAGGAGCGAAAGCAUGGGUAGCGAACAGG